UCCAUUUCCUUUAUACAUAUGCCGUUAUGGUAGAUAUAAGCUCCUUCACUAUUGAUGAGUUUGCCCAAGCAUUUCAGGACAAGGAUUCCUUGCUACUUGGAAAAAUUCAUGUGACCCUUCUGAAGCUUCUUCUAUCUAAUGUUGAAGCCGAGCUUGGCUGUGGAUCUAUACCUCAUUUGAGCAAAUCAUGCAAUUUUCUUGCAUUUAUUCACUCGGU